rnacentral:rRNA from 1 species
UACAGAGGUCCCAAGCGUUGUUCGGAUUCAUUGGGCGUAAAGGGUGCGUAGGCGGUUUGUCGCGUCUGCUGUGAAAACCCGAGGCUCAACCUCGGGCCUGCAGUGGGUACGGGCAGACUAGAGUGCGGUAGGGGAGAUUGGAAUUCCUGGUGUAGCGGUGGAAUGCGCAGAUAUCAGGAGGAACACCAAUGGCGAAGGCAGAUCUCUGGGCCGUAACUGACGCUGAGGAGCGAAAGCAUGGGGAGCGAACAGG